UUAAUGGAUAAAACACCUAAAUCUUACUUAAAUUUGUCAAAUCAACUUGUAUACCACUAUUUAAACAAUUAUUUACUCUUAUUGUUAAUAUUGAAAAACCAAUUAAUGAAUUU
rnacentral:rRNA from 1 species